rnacentral:lncRNA from 1 species
UCAGCAUUGACGAGAAAGUUAAGGAGAAGACCAUGGUGCUGGUCUUGCUAGCAUCAUUUCUCUCUUCAUAUGAGUUCUUGGUGAUUGCUCUUCUAAUGGGGAAGAGCACCUUUAAGAUGGAUGAGGUGUUGGACUUGUGUCCUAAAAGUCAAUUGUUGACUGACACAUUAUGUAUUUUCAGGACCUAAAUUUAUACUUGUAAUACUUUCAUUAUAAAUAAAGG